UACGUAGGGUCCAAGCGUUAAUCGGAAUUACUGGGCGUAAAGCGUGCGCAGGCGGUUUUUUAAGUCAGAUGUGAAAGCCCCGGGCUUAACCUGGGAAUGGCAUUUGGGACUGCAAGGCUAGAGUACGGCAGAGGAGACUAGAAUUCCUGGUGUAGCAGUGAAAUGCGUAGAUAUCAGGAGGAAUACCGAUGGCGAAGGCAGGUCUCUGGGUCGAUACUGACGCUCAUGCACGAAAGCGUGGGGAGCAAACAGG
rnacentral:rRNA from 1 species